GGACUACAAGGGUAUCUAAUCCUGUUUGCUCCCCACGCUUUCGCACCUCAGCGUCAGUAUCGAGCCAGUGAGCCGCCUUCGCCACUGGUGUUCCUCCGAAUAUCUACGAAUUUCACCUCUACACUCGGAAUUCCACUCACCUCUCUCGAACUCAAGGCUGCCAGUAUCGAAGGCAGUUCCGGGGUUGAGCCCCGGGAUUUCACCCCCGACUUAACAGCCCGCCUACGUGCGCUUUACGCCCAGUAAUUCCGAACAACGCUAACCCCCUCCGUAUUACCGCGGCUGCUGGCAC
rnacentral:misc_RNA from 1 species